rnacentral:lncRNA from 1 species
GUCUCCGAAAGCUUUGCCAAAAUAUGCCUUAGUCUAUGACAUGUGCUAUAGGUAAAAUCAAUGAAAAUAUGUCACAACAGCAUACAAGGGUGCACUGAGCAAUUAAACAGCAAUAUGUUGAAAUGGUUACAAGAUUAAACAGGAUGUAUUCGGAUGGUUAUUGUUGCGACUCAUCUCCAAUGGGAGAGUUGGAUCGUCAUGCCUGAAUG